AACGAACGCUGGCGGCAUGCCUAACACAUGCAAGUCGAACGAGACCUUCGGGUCUAGUGGCGCACGGGUGCGUAACGCGUGGGAACCUGCCCUUAGGUUCGGAAUAACUCCCCGAAAGGGGUGCUAAUACCGGAUAAUGUCUUCGGGCCAAAGAUUUAUCGCCUUUGGAUGGGCCCGCGUUGGAUUAGCUAGUUGGUAGGGUAAAAGCCUACCAAGGCGACGAUCCAUAGCUGGUCUGAGAGGAUGAUCAGCCACACUGGGACUGAGACACGGCCCAGACUCCUACGGGAGGCAGCAGUGGGGAAUAUUGGACAAUGGGCGAAAGCCUGAUCCAGCAAGGCCGCGUGAGUGAUGAAGGCCUUAGGGUUGUAAAGCUCUUUUACCCGGGAUGAUAAUGACAGUACCGGGAGAAUAAGCUCCGGCUAACUCCGUG
rnacentral:rRNA from 1 species